AAUUAUUUAAACACCAUUGGUGUAUCGCAGCAGCGUUGCUAGACAAAAAUUAUCGGACCUGUUGGUGGAUUAACGCUGUUAAACGCGGUUGUCCGUCGAUAAUGGAAAGUGCGUGAUUUCAUUUAUUAUCUUCCCUGGCGGACCAUUUCGAUAAUAAGGAGCCACAGAAAAGUAUUUGUCAUCGAAUAAUCAGAAGCAAAAACAAAGCCAAAAGGGGCGGACGUAAAGCGCUCGCAGCAGCAACAACAACUAAAACACAAGUGGCAGUGUUUGUUGGUGUCGGCAGAGAGGAAGAUAGCGUUCGCAUAUAUAUAUACAAUAUAUCAAUAUAUAUGUAUACGCGUGUGUGUGCGAGAGAGAGUGAGAGA